UACGGAGGGUGCAAGCGUUAUCCGGAUUCACUGGGUUUAAAGGGAGCGUAGGUGGGCAGGUAAGUCAGUGGUGAAAUCUCCGGGCUUAACCCGGAAACUGCCAUUGAUACUAUUUGUCUUGAAUUAUCUGGAGGUAAGCGGAAUAUGUCAUGUAGCGGUGAAAUGCUUAGAUAUGACAUAGAACACCAAUUGCGAAGGCAGCUUACUACGGAUAUAUUGACACUGAGGCUCGAAAGCGUGGGGAUCAAACAGG
rnacentral:rRNA from 1 species